rnacentral:rRNA from 1 species
GACGAACCGUGCGAACGUUAUUCGGAAUCACUGGGCUUAAAGAGCGUGUAGGCGGCUUGGUAAGUCCGCUGUGAAAGUCCAGGGCUCAACCCUGGAAUGCCGGUGGAAACUGUCAAGCUUGAGUCCGGAAGAGGCGAGUGGAAUUCCUGGUGUAGCGGUGAAAUGCGCAGAUAUCAGGAGGAACACCAAUGGCGAAGGCAGCUCGCUGGGACGGUACUGACGCUGAGACGCGACAGCGUGGGGAGCAAACAGG